CCCAAGAUUACUCUACACAUGUACACUGGAUGAUCUUUCUCUUAGCUGAAUUCAAACUUUUUCCUAUCAAAUUUGUCCUGUUUUUGUCGCAGAUGUACCAUCAUCUCCUCCAUCCCAGCUGGACAUACCCAACCCUUCAACUGUGAGGGAAUGAUCGGUCGAGUGAUCAACGUAAAGCUGGAAACACAGACCCAAGAAGUGUGUUGUCAAUCUGUGAGCAGGAAGCUUAUGGAGAAAUAGCUGCUCCCUCGCCGUCAUUCAGCGCUGUGGUGAUGGGCAGAAGUGUAGCAGUGGUGGAGAAGAAGCUGUGCUGGUCUGACGCCCUGUUUUACUGCAGAGACUGCUACUGGGACCUGCUGAGCAUUCGCAGUGAGGCUGAGCAGAGGGAGGUGGAAAAUGCGUUGAAAAAUGUCACUUUCCCGCUCACCAGAGAGCUUUGGUUGGGUCUGCGAAGUAUCUGAUGGCUGACACCUGGUUUUGGAUGACUGGUGCGUUAGAGACCUUCACCUACUGGGAGAAAAUGUCUUCCUGGAAAGUCACCAGUCCAUGUGGUGCCAUGGACACCAGAGACCCCUUCCACUGGAGGGAUGUCCCAUGUUGCGAGCAUCUCCAUUUCAUCUGUUUGAAAGACAUUCAGAGAGACAGGAAAAAAGUGGAGUUCUUCAGCACCCGCAGACCACAAACAGAGAGGAGCCCAGGUUCCCUACUAUUGUCCCCCAUAAUGACUUAAAGCCCCUGCAAAGACUCCCUGGUUGUUGAUUUAUGCACCCCCUUGUGGACAAAGUGGUACCUCUAAGCUCUGUGAUUGGCACACCUUGCACACUUGUAAGUUGCGUUUCAAGAGGAAAUCCCCUCCUUUUGUCUUUUACCUGCGUAGUUUGAGAGCCUCCUGGUUGGUGGAAUUUAAAUGCUGCAUGCAUUUA